CUAGAGAUAGAAAGUUACUUCGGUACAUCGGUGACAGGUGGUGCAUGGUUGUCGUCAGCUCGCGUCGUGAGAUGUUGGGUUAAGUCCCGCAACGAGCGCAACCCCUAUUGUUAGUUGCCAUCAUUCAGUUGGGCACUCUAGCGAGACUGCCGGUAAUAAACCGGAGGAAGGUGGGAUGACGUCAAAUCAUCAUGCCCCUUAUGACCUGGGCUACACACGUGCUACAAUGGUUGGUACAACGAGUUGCGAGUCGGUGACGGCGAGCUAAUCUCUUAAAGCCAAUCUCAGUUCGGAUUGUAGGCUGCAACUCGCCUACAUGAAGUCGGAAUCGCUAGUAAUCGCGGAUCAGCACGCCGCGGUGAAUACGUUCCCGGGCCUU
rnacentral:rRNA from 1 species